AGUGAACGCUGGCGGUAGGCCUAACACAUGCAAGUCGAACGGCAGCACAGUAAGAGCUCGCCUCUACGGGUGGCGAGUGGCGGACGGGUGAGGAAUACAUCGGAAUCUACUUUUUCGUGGGGGACAUCGUAGGGAAACUUACGCUAAUACCGCAUACGACCUACGGGUGAAAGCAGGGGAUCUUCGGACCUUGCGCGAUUGAAUGAGCCGAUGUCGGAUUAGCUAGUUGGCGGGGUAAAGGCCCACCAAGGCGACGAUCCGUAGCUGGUCUGAGAGGAUGAUCAGCCACACUGGAACUGAGACACGGUCCAGACUCCUACGGGAGGCAGCAGUAGGGAAUAUUAGGCAAUGGGCACAAGCCUGAUCCAGCCAUACCGCGUGGGUGAAGAAGGCCUUCGGGUUGUAAAGCCCUUUUGUUGGGAAAGAAAAACCGCGGAUAAAUACCCCACUGUUCUGACGGUACCCAAAGAGAAAGCCCCGGCUAACUUCGUG
rnacentral:rRNA from 1 species